UACGUAGGGGGCAAGCGUUGUCCGGAUUUAUUGGGCGUAAAGAGCGUGUAGGCGGCCAAGCAGGUCCGCUGUGAAAACUCGAGGCUCAACCUCGAGACGUCGGUGGAAACCGUUUGGCUAGAGUCCGGAAGAGGAGAGUGGAAUUCCCGGUGUAGCAGUGAAAUGCGUAGAGAUCGGGAGGAACAUCAGUUGCGAAGGCGGCUCUCUGGACCAGCACUGACACUGAGGCACGAAAGCGUGGGGAGCAAACAGG
rnacentral:rRNA from 1 species